CCAGACUCCUACGGGAGGCAGCAGUAGGGAAUCUUCGGCAAUGGACGGAAGUCUGACCGAGCAACGCCGCGUGAGUGAAGAAGGUUUUCGGAUCGUAAAGCUCUGUUGUAAGAGAAGAACGAGUGUGAGAGUGGAAAGUUCACACUGUGACGGUAUCUUACCAGAAAGGGACGGCUAACUACGUGCCAGCAGCCGCGGUAAUACGUAGGUCCCGAGCGUUGUCCGGAUUUAUUGGGCGUAAAGCGAGCGCAGGCGGUUAGAUAAGUCUGAAGUUAAAGGCUGUGGCUUAACCAUAGUACGCUUUGGAAACUGUUUAACUUGAGUGCAGAAGGGGAGAGUGGAAUUCCAUGUGUAGCGGUGAAAUGCGUAGAUAUAUGGAGGAACACCGGUGGCGAAAGCGGCUCUCUGGUCUGUAACUGACGCUGAGGCUCGAAAGCGUGGGGAGCAAACAGGAUUAGAUACCCUGGUAGUCCACGCCGUAAACGAUGAGUGCUAGGUGUUGGGUCCUUUCCGGGACUCAGUGCCGCAGCUAACGCAUUAAGCACUCCGCCUGGGGAGUACGACCGCAAGGUUGAAACUCAAAGGAAUUGACGGGGGCCCGCACAAG
rnacentral:rRNA from 1 species